AACACAAACUCACGCGUAAAAAGAAAAACAAAAGCUCUUUCUCUCUUUCUUUCUUUGCGAUGGCGAUGGCGAUUUGGUUCGAUUUUCUCCGGCGAUUGAGGCAGACGGCGAAGAUUGAGGGAAGAAUUGAGUGGUUAGGCCGGGAAUGAGAAUGAUGAUGCAUGAUUGAAGUGAGGAGGAGUCGUUGCAUGUUUGAUUUUUAGGGUUCAUAGUUUCGGAUUGAAUCAAAUUGAGUCAGGAUUGUUUCAUUAGGGGUUUCAUUGAUAUUUAUUUGUUAGGAUUGAAUCAAAUUGAGUCAUAGAAUGCUAGAUUUAUGGUAAAUAGUUUUGUUCCGGUAAGCUUAUUGGCUCUGCGAUUCAUGGAUCCAUACUUUGCAAGGUGAUGGAAAGCUUGGAACAUGCGAUGAGACGUGGUACUCUAAUUGUAGCAGAAUAUCUUGGAGGUGCUGUUAAUUGUGAUGCUCACCAUAUGACUUCUCAAGCAUCAUGAAAAUAUUGCCUACUAGGAUGAGAUUGUAGGCUUGGGGUUGCUUGUCUCACCUCUAUGAUGCAUUCCUUGCGCUUCAUGAACUGGGAUGAGCUUUUGUCUUGGAUUUGAAUGACAAGUGCUUCAACUCCUGCUACAUUUUUUUCUUGUUGUAACCAAAUAAAAAUAUAUGUAUUGUUUUACAAGUUUAAA